AUGCUGGGGAUGACAACCUAGUAUUCAAGUGGUGUUAGCAAGUGUCAACAAGCUUUUUGGCACCGUUGCCGGGGAGACGGUUACUGAGUUGACUACGAACUAGCUUAAUCAUUUUCUAAAAAAUAAAAAAAAUAUAUUUUUCCUUUUAUCCUUUGCCUCAUCUCUACUAUUCUUUCUUCUUAUCUAAUCCUUGAUUUCUGGUCUAUCAUGAAUGCAAACAUGUCUAUCUAUCAGUUUAAUAGACCUACGGGCACACAUCUCGAACCACCAAAAUCUUCAAAGCCUAUAAUAGCAUCUAGUUUUGAGAUAGACCCCGAAUACAUAGAAUUUGUUCAAAAACAACCUUUCUCAGGAGAAUGUGAGGAAAACCCAUACACACACCUAAGAGAGUUUUAUCGAGUCUGUGACCUCCUUCGCGUAGAAGGCAUGUCCGAUGAGACCCUUAAAUGGAAGCUCCUUCCGUUCUCUUUAAGAGGAAAAGCUAGACAUUGGUGUUGACGGUCCUUAAGUACCAAAUUUAAUCAUCAAAUAAAUAAAGAAAAGGAUCCAAAUGCAACCAAAACCCAGACUUAGGGUUUUAUCUGACAGAAUUCCAUGAGUUUUGGUGUUUGUCUAUUUCUGCAGGGGGUUAUCAGGAAAUAUGGAAGAAAGGCCCACAUGUCGGGUUUACAUAGAGAUAUUAACGUGCCGCGCAAUUUUCUAUCAUCUAGAAGGCUCCAGAAGCCACGGGAACGAACGGGAAGCCGAGCGAGCUCAGGGACAGGGCGCCCGCCCUACUUUUUCCACCAAUCAUGAUCAACCUCGUGGAUUAUGCUCCACCGACCUAAAGGAUCAACAAAAACCGUGCGAUUAAUGUCGGUUUGAUCCGACGACCCAGAUUCACAUGAGGGGACUAUAUAAGCAGACCCCCUAGCCCAUGGAGGAGGCACCCCUUGAUCCCUAUUCAUUAUUCAUAGACAGAGCAAAAGCAAGGGUUUGGAGAUGAGAGCUAUCCUCUCUUCUCUAAACUAGAGUAGAUCUAGAUAGUAGCGAGAUGGAGAGCGAGGGAGGAUUGGAGGAGAGGCCGGCCUGUCGGUUCUUCCUCCGGUUGUACUUCGUCAUGAUCAAGCUCUAAUCAAGCUUUCUCAAGGGAUGACUCUGGUAAUCUACUUCUAUUUCGUUAUGCAAUUACUAUCCAUGUAUGUUCUGGUUCACAACUCUUUUGAGUACUUUAAUCUAUAGGGCGCUAUAGGUGAGAGUUGUAGUACAGGUGUAAGCGUGGUGCUUAGACCUAGAUUACCUGUGGAUACCCCCUGUCUAGCCGGAUCGUGUGGUAGGCCACGUAGGUGACAGUUACGUUGGUCCCCUAUAGUCCACCUCCCAUUAGCAGGACUGGUAGGGUUUAUUGGCCUAUGGAUAAGCAUCCUUUGUGGUGUAAUCUUAUCACGUGGUUCGUCCCAAACAUAGACAUACCCCUUUGAAGUAGAGAAACCAUAGUUAUCCUGUCUAUUCUCCUACCAUCGCCCAUAUACUAGAUUGCUCUACUCUCUAUUCCCAUUUUAUCACCCAUUGUUAUCUCACCUUUAAUAUUAUUCGUAUUCAAUUCUUCCAUCUUUCCUAUUUACACCUACCUAUCUAUCUAGGUUAAGUUAGAGCGUAGAUCAGCUCUCCCGUUUCCCUGUGGAUACGAUAAAACCUUUAACCGGGUAAAAGCUACAACAGUAUCCGUGCGCUUGCGGAUUUAUCUGUGUGCGUAUAAAUACCAUAGUACACUCUAGUGCCAUGCUGGGGAUGACAACCUAGUAUUCAAGUGGUGUUAGCAAGUGUCAACAAGCUUUUUGGCACCGUUGCCGGGGAGACGGUUACUGAGUUGACUACGAACUAGCUUAAUCAUUUUCUAAAAAAUAAAAAAAAUAUAUUUUUCCUUUUAUCCUUUGCCUCAUCUCUACUAUUCUUUCUUCUUAUCUAAUCCUUGAUUUCUGGUCUAUCAUGAAUGCAAACAUGUCUAUCUAUCAGUUUAAUAGACCUACGGGCACACAUCUCGAACCACCAAAAUCUUCAAAGCCUAUAAUAGCAUCUAGUUUUGAGAUAGACCCCGAAUACAUAGAAUUUGUUCAAAAACAACCUUUCUCAGG
rnacentral:lncRNA from 1 species